GAUCUAAGUCUUGGUACAUGUGCAUCUCUAUCUAAAAAUCCCUUUUAGAGUUAAUAAUAUUACAACCUUCCAUCACCUUCAUAUUCAUAAAAUCACUAUCACAAUCAGUAUUACUAUAUAUUACCAUCACUAUCAGAAUCAUUAUCAGUAUCAUUGUCUCCACUACUGUGAGCAUUACUAUUACCAUCACUAUCUACAUUUUGAGCAUC
rnacentral:lncRNA from 1 species